CUAACAUUAGAGGCACUGCCUGCCCAGUGACAUACGUUCAACGGCCGCGGUACCCUGACCGUGCAAAGGUAGCAUAAUCACUUGUUCUUUAAUUAAGGACUAGAAUGAAAGGCCACACGAGGGUUAAACUGUCUCUUGCUCUCAAUCAGUGAAAUUGACCUUCCCGUGAAGAGGCGGGAAUAUAAUAAUAAGACGAGAAGACCCUAUGGAGCUUAAAUCAACUAACCCAAUAGUAUAAACAUAAUUAACCUACAACAGGCAUAAACAUCUAUUAACUCUGGGUUAAAAAUUUCGGUUGGGGUGACCUCGGAGUAAAAUAUAUCCUCCGAAUAAUUUUAGCCUAGACCUUACCAGUCAAAUCAUAAAUUCAUACCUAAUUGACCCAAACUAUUUUGAUCAAUGGAACAAGUUACCCUAGGGAUAACAGCGCAAUCCUAUUAUAGAGUCCAUAUCAACAAUAGGGUUUACGACCUCGAUGUUGGAUCAGGACACCCUAAUGGUGCAACCGCUAUUAACGGUCCGUUUGUUC
rnacentral:rRNA from 1 species